GAAAUGGUCUGCUGCCUUUUGUUUCGGCUAUCAAGCAAUCAUUUGCAUUUGUGCACUUCGAUUUUUGUUUGACAUGUUUUGCAAGCAACUCUGCAGCACCAGACAAACUUGCAUUCACACUUCUCCGUCACCACCUUUUUGAAGGUGUUGUAACCACGGCCACAGCAGAGUAAUUCACAGCUUUCCAUUCCGUGGCCAGUUUUGUUACAUUCUCGACCUUCUGUACCAGCGGUGCUGCUUUUCUCAUCAUACCGACAAUAAUCUGGGGGAUCAUCCAGGUAUACAAGGUCCAUUUGAGCAGCUCGACGCUUUUUACCAUUUUUCACCAGUUGUAAAUUGCCACGUCGAUUGAUUUUCACACGUACUGCUGUAUCAUAACGGUCGAGUAAUAUUUGGCCCAGCUCUCGAAUACUUGGAGCCUGUUUCCAACAAGUUUUCAAACUACAAGAACGAAAGUUAGAGGUUCGAAGGCGAUCAGAUACCGCCCUAGUUCUAACGGUAAACUAUGCCAACCAGCGAUUCGCCGAAGUUCAUUUAAGACUCGGCGAGCAGCUUCCGGGAAACCAAAGUGUUUCGGUUCCGGGGGAAGUAUGGUUGCAAAGCUGAAACUUAAAGGAAUUGACGGAAGGGCACCACCAGGAGUGGAGCCUGCGGCUUAAUUUGACUCAACACGGGAAAACUCACCCGGCCCGGACACUGGAAGGAUUGACAGAUUGACAGCUCUUUCUUGAUUCAGUGGGUAGUGGUGCAUGGCCGUUCUUAGUUGGUGGAGCGAUUUGUCUGGUUAAUUCCGAUAACGAACGAGACUCUACCCUAUUAAAUAGUGACAGUAUUGUAUUUUUUGUGCUGAUCACUUCUUAGAGGGACUGGCAAAUUGAAAGCUGCACGAAAAAGAGCAAUAACAGGUCUGUGAUGCCCUUCGAUGUCCGGGGCUGCACGCGCGCUACAAUGAAAGCGUCAACGUGAGUUACGUCCUUACCUGAAAAGGUUUGGCAAUCGAAUGAAACGUUUUCUUGAAUGGAAUAGGGAAUUGCAAUUGUUUCCCUUGAACGAGGAAUUCCCAGUAAGCGUGAGUCAUUAGCUCGCGUUGAUUACGUCCCUGCCCUUUGUACACACCGCCCGUCGCUACUACCGAUUGGAUGAUUUAGUGAGGUGUUUUGACUGGCGCCAGUAGUCGGAUGUAUUCGGCUUCGCGCCGGGAAAUUUCCCAAACCAAAUCAUCUAGAGGAAGUAAAAGUCGUAACAAGGUUUCCGUAGGUGAACCUGCGGAAG
rnacentral:rRNA from 1 species